rnacentral:rRNA from 1 species
AGAGUUUGAUCAGUGGCUCAGAACGAACGCUGGCGGCAUGCCUAACACAUGCAAGUCGAACGAACCCUUCGGGGUUAGUGGCGCACGGGUGCGUAACACGUGGGAAUCUGCCCUUUGACUUCGGAAUAACAGUUAGAAAUGACUGCUAAUACCGGAUGAUGUCGUAAGACCAAAGAUUUAUCGGCAAAGGAUGAGCCCGCGUAGGAUUAGGUAGUUGGUGGGGUAAAGGCCUACCAAGCCGACGAUCCUUAGCUGGUCUGAGAGGAUGAUCAGCCACACUGGGACUGAGACACGGCCCAGACUCCUACGGGAGGCAGCAGUGGGGAAUAUUGGACAAUGGGCGAAAGCCUGAUCCAGCAAUGCCGCGUGAGUGAUGAAGGCCUUCGGGUUGUAAAGCUCUUUUACCAGGGAUGAUAAUGACAGUACCUGGAGAAUAAGCUCCGGCUAACUCCGUG